rnacentral:rRNA from 1 species
UACGUAGGUGGCAAGCGUUGUCCGGAAUUAUUGGGCGUAAAGCGCGCGCAGGCGGCCUUUUAAGUCUGAUGUGAAAGCCCACGGCUCAACCGUGGAAGGUCAUUGGAAACUGAAAGGCUUGAGUACAGAAGAGGAAAGCGGAAUUCCACGUGUAGCGGUGAAAUGCGUAGAGAUGUGGAGGAACACCAGUGGCGAAGGCGGCU